CGAUGGAGGGGGGUAACUACUGGAAACGGUAGCUAAUACCGCAUAACGUCGCAAGACCAAAGAGGGGGACCUUCGGGCCUCUUGCCAUCGGAUGUGCCCAGAUGGGAUUAGCUAGUAGGUGGGGUAACGGCUCACCUAGGCGACGAUCCCUAGCUGGUCUGAGAGGAUGACCAGCCACACUGGAACUGAGACACGGUCCAG
rnacentral:rRNA from 1 species